rnacentral:rRNA from 1 species
GACGAACGCUGGCGGCGUGCUUAACACAUGCAAGUCGAACGGAAAGGCCCUGCUCUUGUGGGGUGCUCGAGUGGCGAACGGGUGAGUAUCACGCGAGUAACCUGUCCUUGACUUCGGGAUAACUCCAGGAAACUGGGGCGAAUAUCGGAUAUGAGAUCCUGCUGCACGGGGGGGGAUGGAAAGAUUCGGAGGUUGGGGAUGGACUCGCGGCUUAUCAGCUUGUUGGUGGGGUAGUGGCGUACCAGGGCUUUGACGGGUAGCCGGCCUGAGAGGGUGACCGGCCACAUUGGGACUGGGGUACGGCCCAGAGGCCUACGGGAGGCAGCAGUGGGAAAUAUUGCGCAAUGGGCGGAAGCCUGAUGCAGCGACGCCGCGUGCGGGAUGACGGCCUUCGGGUUAUAAACCGCGUUCGCCUGUGACGAAGCGUGAGUGACGGUAAUGGGUAAAGAAGCACCGGCUAACUACGUG